AAAGAAUUAGUUUAAAAAAAACUCUAAAUUGUCAAUUUAAUGAUAUUUUAAUCUAAUUAAAUAUUCUUUU
rnacentral:tRNA from 1 species